CUACUCCUUCUUUUCAUAUCAUAUAAGUCUUUCACCAUUUAUUAAAGAUUUCCGUGGAGAGGAACAUCAUGAGUUAAAAAGUGUUGUUUUUUUUGGUGGUUAAAGCUGAUGGCA